AGUAAGCAUAGUCCCGGAAGGGAUGUCCUUGCUAAGGGCUGCUUAUAGCUUCCUCUGGGAACUGAUAGAACCUAUCAGUGGCCAGUUUGAAUAUGGACAAUUCUUUAAGCCACUUAAAGUUGUGACCACCUCUGUGAUCCACAUUUAAGAAUAGGCAAACUCCCCCUCCAAGCUCUCUCUCGUUUCCGGCGCUGGCACAGGUGGCUGCGGGCCCCGUGUGGGGGCCAGCGGGCCCGGCCAGGCCCUGCUUGGGCCAGGCUGGGCCGGGCCAUGGCCAUCCUGGGUCGAUGGACCUGUUCCAGCCAUGGAACCCCCACCACUGCCUUGCUGUGGGCAGCCGGAGCGGCUCGGCUCUCCCCCCUCUCCACUGUGAUAAGGAAAAUUCAACAUUCCAGCUGCAAAGCUGCAAGGCCGAGGUGAGAGUAACCCUUUUACUGCUGUGAAGAGCUGAAAACCUGAGGGAAGAGAGAGAGGAGAUGCUUUAAGCUGAAAUUCUGUUGUGAAGCUAUGAUAUAUCAGAGUAUCCCGUUGUAAUUUCAUGAAGAUAUGGGGGGUGGAGUGUUCAACUCGUAAGCAAAAGCACCUGCGCUGAGAUAGGCAGAUGCUGACGCAGCUGUAAUUUCAUGAGAAGUUUGGACAGGGAGAGAUGGAGCAGAUGAGGACUCUUGCUCCAAAUGGGAAAGGAGAAAACCUCAGUCCCUAGAGAUGCUCCCAGAGAUAGUCCUAAAGAUGAAGAUGAGGAAGACCCUUUGCUCCCAGGGAAGGAGAAGGGCCUCUGUUUUUGUUUCUGAACAGCUCAACCUUAAAAUUGUACCCCAAAAACCUUCAAGAAUGGACCCUCAAAAGCAGUUGCGGGAAAAGCUGCAAGUCGGGGGAAGGGACUCACACGCAGGCAGAGAGAGACUCCUCUUCCUAAAUGGACUGAACAAUAUUUGGAAGUGGGCGGCUGUCUCGUUGUGAUAAUGUUUUCAUAGCACGAGCAAGAAGAGACUUCUCUUUCUAAAUGGACUGAACAAGGUUAUUAUGGAAGUGGUAAACAGACUGAACAUCUUAAGGGUUGUCUUUUUACAUAGUCAGUGGGAGAAGGGAGGAAGAUGGGGGGGAGGAGAAGAGUUCUGAAGGUGGUGUAAUUUUUUUUUUCCUUCUUUUAGGUCUGUUAAUAAACUUCUUUAUAUUCUUUCAAGUUUGGUGCCUGCUUUGCAUUCCUCCUAAUUCUUAUCUCACAGAAGAUAAACAGUAAUGAGUAUUUUAGACCAAACCACUACACAUGGCCAUGGUACAGAUUUCACUGCGCAAGGAGAAAAAUUAAUCCAAAUA
rnacentral:lncRNA from 13 species